ACGCCAGACUCCUACGGGAGGCAGCAGUGGGGAAUAUUGCACAAUGGGGGGACCCUGAUGCAGCGACGCCGCGUGGGUGAAGGAGUAUUUCGGUAUGUAAAGCCCUAUCAGCAGGGAAGAACAAUGACGGUACCUGACUAAGAAGCACCGGCUAAAUACGUGCCAGCAGCCGCGGUAAUACGUAGGGGGCAAGCGUUAUCCGGAUUUACUGGGUGUAAAGGGGGCGCAGACGGCAGCGCAAGCCAGGAGUGAAAGCCCGGGGCCCAACCCCGGGACUGCUCUUGGAACUGCGCGGCUGGAGUGCAGGAGGGGCAGGCGGAAUUCCUGGUGUAGCGGUGAAAUGCGUAGAUAUCAGGAGGAACACCGGUGGCGAAGGCGGCCUGCUGGACUGCGACUGACGUUGAGGCCCGAAAGCGUGGGGAGCAAACAGGAUUAGAUACCCUCGUACU
rnacentral:rRNA from 1 species